rnacentral:rRNA from 1 species
AGAACGAACGCUGGCGGCAUGCCUAACACAUGCAAGUCGAACGCUUUUGGGGCUUCGGUCCCAAAGGAGUGGCGCACGGGUGAGUAGCGCGUGGGAACCUGCCCUGUUGUGGGGGAUAACCGAGGGAAACUUCGGCUAAUACCGCAUACGCCCGGGGGAAACUCCGGGGAAAGAUUUAUCGCAGCAGGAGGGGCCCGCGUCGGAUUAGGUAGUUGGUGGGGUAACGGCCCACCAAGCCUGUGAUCCGUAGCUGGUCUGAGAGGAUGAUCAGCCACACUGGGACUGAGACACGGCCCAGACUCCUACGGGAGGCAGCAGUGGGGAAUAUUGGACAAUGGGCGCAAGCCUGAUCCAGCAAUGCCGCGUGAGUGAUGAAGGCCUUCGGGUUGUAAAGCUCUUUCGCACGCGACGAUGAUGACGGUAGCGUGAGAGAAGCCCGGCUAACUUCGUGCCAGCAGCCGC